AAUCAAAUAAAUCUCCGAUUCUUAUGUUCCGGCAGAAAACAUAGACAGAAUCAGGAAUAUAGGGACUAUGGGUAUUAAAAGUGAUUUUAUGCCUGCCGUGAUUGCAAAGGAGCUAUUCGAAUAUUU
rnacentral:ncRNA from 2 species